AAAAAGUACGUAAUACCUAGUUAGGUUUGCUACCUACCUACAAACUUCAAAGGUUUCAGGAUAGCUGACAGUUGAGGAAAGUUGUAAUGUUUGAGGAAUCCGCGCGCCAAGUGCUACGAGAAACCGCACGGGUUGAACUGGGCUGAUGCGCAGGGGCACCAAGGUAAAUAUCAUCUAGAUUCAUUUACACUCUAAACGUGAUCACACGUUUGGGGUGUGCGCGACGGUUGGUUUUGGGGUCUAGGGAUGCUGAUCGUGUGUGCGCGUGUAGCAGUACUAUAACAGGCUCUGUGUGUGUGUGUGUACUAUAACAGGCCGUGUGUGUGUUUGUGUGUGUACUAUAACAGGCUCUGUGUGUGUGUGUGUGUGUGUGUGUGUACUAUAACAGGCUGUGUGUGUGUGUGUGUGUGUGUGUGUGUACUAUAACAGGCUGUGUGUGUGUGUGUGUGUGUGUGUGUUUGUGUGCGUGCAUGCGUGCGUGCGUGUGUGUGUGAGGAGCAGCAUAACAGCGGGAGUAAGUAUUCUUACUGACAGGAGUCAUCUAUAACUGUAAAUAAAAAGAAAAUAUACAAGUCAGCUUUGGUAGAAAAGUGCUAACAGUAGGGAACAGUACGUUUUCCACUUUGUUAGUGCAGUGCUGGUACAGGGUCGUCUGCCGUAUUUGAGCCAGUACACACCUGUGUUCAGAGAAUCAACAGGUUAGGUGCGACAGUCGUUCACCAGCACAAAAACGACUGCUCAGUGACACUGAUGUAGAACAGUCAGAAAGUGACACUGGGCCAGCUGUGGGCCAGAAGUAUUUUUCUGCUUGUGACUCUAAACCAGCAGUGCCGACUUAGAAACGACUCCGGGCCAAAGUCGCUGGCUAUCUGGGUAUUUGGUAGUAGUGAGUGUGUUUAUAUAAAAAUGUGCUAGCUAAGUUAAUAACAUACACUUUUAACGAAGUAGCAGAGUGUGCAGGAACGUAUUACUGAACUCUGGAAUAAACAAUACAAAUAAAGAUUUUUUUAUAUUAACUCACAGACACAGCACCAUUUUAUUUAACUAAAAAGCUAGCUAAAACAAACAUUACACAGUGACUUGUAGAGACACACAACCACUAAGUUAACCUAGCUGACUAGCUAGCUAAUGUACAACAUCUAAACAAAAGUUCUGUGGAAGCAUUUAGGUUAGCUAGUAAAGACCAAUUCGCUAGCUAACUACCAAAUUGGUUAACUAGCAAGCCUAAAUGCUUUUACAGUAUGUAUGUUUGUAAAAGCAUUUAAGCUAACGCUAGCAAACUGGCUGGUUUCUAUCC